UCAAGGUGUGCAGACCAGGUGACUAGCUGGUGGAGAGAGUGGCAGCACCGUGGACAGCUCUGUGUGGAAAGCUUAUUAGAGAUAGACUAUGCUGGUAUUCUGAGAUAAAGCCCUGGGGUAAGGGCAGAGGAUGCUGCAUCCAGAAGGAGAAGCCCUGGGGGCACCAUUCAGAGUGAGGGAAUAGACUCCGAGGGACGUGGGCCCCAGUUCCCUCCUCCUUAUCCAUACUGACAUCUGUGAUGGGGUAAGAGGUCCAUGACCAAUGCAGGAACAAUCGUUUCCAUGGAGAAGAUUCUCUUCGAAAUUAUGGUUGUGACAGCAGUGGUGACAGUAAAAGCAACAACACCAACUUCGUAAACUUGGCUGCAACCACGCCUCUCUCUACAGAGACAUUCAUGUUCAUACAGGGUUCUGUGUAAUGGCUCUUAUUUGGAUUUCAUGUUUGCUUACAAAUCAUAAUGCCCUUCCGAUGACUAGGUCAGGUAUUAGGAAUGGAAGUAAAAGUGUCUUCACUGCAGUG